UAUCCUGUCAAAAGAAACAAAGUACAGUAUUUAUUUCUGUGCAAAAGCUUUAGUGGAUGUUUGGUUUGUUCACAGAUAUUACCAAAUUGACACUCAGACCUUCACAAACAACAAACAGAAAGCCAUGCUAUUCUUAUCCUAUGCAUGUAGCACCAGAUUUCAGCAAUUAACCUGAGGAUCUAUUGAGGAGUUUAAACUGAUCAUCGCUAAAAACUCACUCACGGAUCAUUUUCUCUGAAUUACAGAUUGCUACUGAUUCUAAUACUGGGCAAGUACGCCUACAAAAACUGGAACCCUACAGGAAAUGCCAAUGUGUAACGUUAUCUAGAACACCUUUGUUUGUUUGUUUUGGUUUUGUUGGUUGAGUUUUGGGGGAUUUUGUUCUUUUGUUUGUUUGUUUUAAAUCUGUGAGGUGUGAUCCACUUGGGAAUGCUAAGGACUGCAAAUCAGUGAACUGGCUGGUUAUGAACAACAAUGUAUAGAACCAGACUGCUAGACUAAAAAGGAAGUGGAGUAGGCAGAAAUCAGCUUUCGCAUUGGAUAAUUCAUGCAACUUGGCUCUUCAGGAACCAGCCUAAACCAGUCUGACUUGCAUCCCAAACAGGGGCUUAGCUAUAAAUAUAUUCAGAACUUUAUAGGUACUGCCAGUAAAUACAGAUGGUAUUUUAUUUUUCAUCAUUGGGUACACCAAGUAAUAAGCUUGUGUCUUCCUAUUUACCACUAUGCUCUGUGUUACUGAAUUUUUUCUUUUGUUUUAAACGUAACUCCACCUAACCUGUGUUGCAGCAAAAAUGUCAAGGAAACCAAAGCAAUAGGCAAGAUCAUCUUCUUGCCAAAUACAAAUAAUGGCCUUAAGAAAAGAAAUCCUGGAAGGUGACUUCAGUAUCUUCUUAAACAUUUUCAAGUCCCAGUGCAGUGAAUGAGACUUGAGAAUAUCUCAACUUGAAACCAGUGGAAGGUAGAAACAGAAGACGAAAAUGUUGCUCUAAGAUUAUUUAAUAACUGUUGUGCAUGUAGUCUCAAAUCUCCCAUCUGAAAAUAACCCUUUUCUUAAGAAUUCAGACUGCGCUCACUUGUUUAAUACAGGAGGGAAUGGGAGCUAAUCUUUCCCUCUUUCCUUUGUUUAUCUUUUUCACCAACAGUUUGAGCAAAGAAAAAGCCAAUGACCAAUGCCUUCUCAUAUCAACAGGUCUGAAGCCAAACUUAUGCAAGAUUGGGGAUUUGAAAAUACCACAUACAACCAGAGCUUUUUUGCUCCUGCAGGGAUCCUAACAAGAUGGAUUUCGGCAGUCCUGGUGAAUCACGUAAAAGUGUGUACUUUGGUGAGAAGAACUAGAAACCUCUGGCCUGUUGGGAGAUCUGGAGUGCUACAUACUAUGUUUCCACUUUCAGAUCAAGUCUCCCUCUCCUUGUAGUCUUAUCUUUAUAGCUAACCUUGUUAAUGGAUAAAUAACAUCUAAUAAGGAAAGCAUUAUUUAACAGUUAGUCCUCAAGAGAACUUAGAACUGAGUAUGAAGGUUAAAGCCAAAUAAAAUGCAUGCACUCAGAAGGCUAAAGUUACUGUAUCUUCUGUAAUCAAUUCUUAAAGUAUUUGCUGCAUAUUCACAGGACAGACUGCCUUUUAUUGCCUAUUCUUGGAAUAAUGCUGUAUUAAAAUCUAUAACUAUAUAUCAUAAGCUUGAUUUGCUAAAAUGUAGUACCUAUUUUACAAACUUCCAUCACAGUUUUUAGUUGUUUUUUUUCCCCCCAUCAGUUCAGUUUUAAAAUAGCUGUUAUUCAAAAAGGAGAGGAGAAAUUAAAAGCAAACUCAUGAAGUGUUUGCUUGAAGAUUCCCCACAAAAUUUAUAAAUAAUCAGAGCAAAUACUGAGUCCUAAUUUUUAUUCAGUUACAGGUUGUUUCUGCUCAAAUUUACUCUUCAUUGUCCCAGACCUAAGCACAUGAAAGAGGGUUUUUCUCCUAAAAUUUUAAGCCACUUGGUACCCAAGAGUCUUUCAAGAUUGCUCUAAUGAGUCUUUUGUCCAUAAACGGAAAAUCAAGCCUUUGUAAGCCUCAUUUCUACUGUAAUCCCAUCACUGUUCAAUUUUCUGUUCCAUCUGGUAACUUCCUUUCAGAAUAAGCUAUUUUAUGUACAGUGAGUUAAACCACUUCAGAAAUUAUUUUUUCAAUCACUAACAAGACUAGUUUGUUAUUACUAAAAAAAUCAUACUGUGAAUGUCUUAGAAUAUCUCAACUUAGCAUUAUUCUUUGCCCCAGCAUGCCAAUUUGUAUACUUUCAAUAUCCCCUGGUGAGUUGGUUGAAAUCUAGCCAAAAUAUUCAUUAGUGGCACUAUUAUCUAUUAAGCUUGUAAAUAAAACAUACACAUCAACGGGACACAUGAGGAAAACAGACAAUAUGAUUAAAGGCAGUAUAUAACAGGAUUAAAGAUUAAAGUCUGUCAGCACUGAUUUGUUAAAUUGUUGCUAAAGCAUAUUUCCAUGUAAAGCACAUUAAACCUGAAAAACCUCCAA